AUUGAACGCUGGCGGCAGGCCUAACACAUGCAAGUCGAACGAGUGGCGGACGGGUGAGUAAUGUCUGGGAAACUGCCCGAUGGAGGGGGAUAACUACUGGAAACGGUAGCUAAUACCGCAUACCAUCGGAUGUGCCCAGAUGGGAUUAGCUAGUAGGUGGGGUAACGGCUCACCUAGGCGACGAUCCCUAGCUGGGCGGAGAGGAUGUACAGCCACACUGGAACUGGGAAACGGUCCAGAAGCCUACGGGAGGCAGCAGUGGGGAAUAUUGCACAAUGGGAGCAAGCCUGAUGCAGCCAUGGCGAGUGUAGUAAGAAGGGCUUCGGGUUGUAAAGUACUUUUAGCGAGGAGGAGUUACUUGCAGAAGAAGCACCGGCUAACUCCGUGCCAGCAGCCGCGGUAAUAC
rnacentral:rRNA from 1 species